ACUCGUUCGCCUCGAAUCUCCGCCCUAUUCUCUCUCUCUCUAACUAAUUCCAGAUUAUAAUCUACCACUGACCGGCCAAAACCAGACACGCUGAAGUUGUUUGGUUAAGAGGCUUUCUAUAAAUGGGGUAGGUGAAAGAUAGAGCGAGGUUCUAAAUCCAGGCCAAACAACGCCUUAUAUACUUCCUUCCACGAACAACAAUGGUCAAUCUCCUCCCUUUGGCCGCUUUCUUCCUCUUCCUUAUCUCCGCAACCUCCGCCGACAAAACUCCGUCGUCUCUGUUGACUGCUCACGUCGAAUUGACCAAUUACGGGUUCCCCGUCGGUCUCCUUCCCACAAAUGUUGAAUCCUACGUCCUGAAUCAGACUUCCGGCGACUUUCUUGUCCUCCUCUCUGAUACCUGCAAGGUCACACUGCCACCGGAUAACUACCUGGCGAGCUAUUCCAAACGAAUUUCCGGUACGAUCGUCGCGGGUAAGAUUGCAGAGAUAAACGGAAUUAGGGUUAGGGCUUUGUUCCAAUGGUGGUCAAUUACAGGGAUCAAAUCAAAUAACGAAAAUCUUGUUUUCGAGGUCGGUAUGGUCAGCGCCAAGUAUCCAUCGAAGAAUUUCAACGAGAUUCCUGAAUGUGAAGGCACAAAGCUGUCGUCUUCAUAACCUGCUACCAUCUCCAACGGCUUGGUUUUAAACAUGUAUUUCAUCUUUGAAACAACUUCAAGACCUAUAUAAUCCUUCUAUUCUAACAUGUGUAUUCAUUCCUUUGACGAUGUUAACUUAGUAUUCAAGUGUUAUGUCUUUCUUACGAAUUGAUGGUAAAAGGGUUGUUUGAUGGUGAAGUUGGUUCCUAGUAUUUGUAUAUAUGGCAUGCUUGUUAUGCAUAGAAACAAUGUCUCUUCCCUU